CACGUGCUGGCCAACAAGGAGAAGUGCGCCAACCACGGUCACAUGUAGACCAGAGCUUGGCAGCCAUGGUUUGGUCUGCCAAGCUACAGUCACCAUUCCAUCCACCUCCCUAGCUGUUGUACGUGUCCUAAUUCUCAUUGUUUCUGUAGACGGUGCUCUUUGCAUCUUGUAUGUAAUUUUUUGUUUUUUUACAGGCAAUCCUCCCUCUUAGGAGGUGUGCGUAUAAAAAUAGUUUGGACCUCUUAAGAGUACUUCCACCUAUCGGAGCGUGACCUCCUCGAGCGUGAGUCUGCGGGACCCCCUUCGUGAGUUUGGCCCAGGGGUGCGGGGUUGAGCCCGAAAGGCCUCGUGGUCAGGAGAGAAUGCAGAAAAAGCGAGGGAAGAGAAGAGGAGUUGGGGGGUCGGGGCCCUCAGCGAACAUAGGGGGAAUUAUACAGGUUCAGGCCACUGCGAGGUGUAAUACC
rnacentral:lncRNA from 1 species